rnacentral:rRNA from 1 species
AUUGAACGCUGGCGGCAUGCUUUACACAUGCAAGUCGAACGGUAACACGCCGCGCUUUGCUGUCUGGUGGUGGCCGGGGGCGUAAUGCUUCGGAACGUGCCCCGUCGCUGUGGAUAACUACUCGCUAGAGUAACUCAUAGCUCAUACGAGCUAAUGUUGAGAACGGGGGAGCUCAAUACUGCGAGCCGUUUUUGCUGUCGCUUUUAGAUUAGUUAGUUGGUGGGGUAAAGGCUCACCAAGUCAACGAUUUGUAGCUGGUCUGAGAGGACGACCCGCCACACUGGAACUGAGACACGGUCCAGACUCCUACGGGAGGCAGCAGUAGGGAAUUUUGGACAAUGGGCGAAAGCCUGAUGCAGCAAUGCCGCGUGAAGGAUGAAGGUCUUCGGGUUGUAAAAUGCUGUUGUAAGGAAAGAAAAGGUGUUGGAUAAUACCCGGGGGUAUUGACGGUACCGAAAGAGUAAGCACCGGCUAACUACGUG